rnacentral:lncRNA from 1 species
AUGAAUUAACUAUUUUUACACAUAAAGGAAAUCGUCAAAACAACCCUGGCCCAAAUCCGUAUGGAAAAAGGACAUCACCCGAUCUGGACCAAUGUGACAAAAGGCCUGAAGCACCAAACUGCUUGAUGGCAGUGAGGGAUCUCGUUUGAAAAGGUCUGGAGUUCGAUUCUCCAAUGACGCAAACAUUGGGCCCAAAAUCAGCCCUGGUUGAACAAGACUAGCUGGAUCUCAAGAGAGAGGUCGAGGGAUCGAGUCCAAACAAUGAUAUCGUGACUCCAACUGCAGCAACUCGCACAACAGCAACGAUGCACCAUUAUGACAAUGCAUACCUUCAUUUUAAUUGAUUUACAUGAACUCCAAAUACCUAAUUCAAUUUAUCAUACUGUUUAUCUAUCAUGGAUUACUGAUUUAAAUGAAACAAUUCAAUGUGAAUAAGCUUUUGUCUUCCUGACCUUUAACUAAUUUCAAAGCCAAUUUACUAACAACAUUACACUAGCAUGAUCAAUGACAAUAUUACUAGCAAUCUACAGUUCAUGAAUUGAAAGGCCACCAGGAAGUCAUUACCCUUUUAACGCGAUACUUUCCAGCUCCAGUACUACUGAUGACUACUAAAUUCAUAUGAACUUCCGAAUUGAUUCAACAAACCAAUUGACAAACCCCCUGAACUGACUACACUUUAAGCCACACACAGGGUCUAGUAUAAUAGUUCAAUAUUACACAACAUUUAAACUAACCAUUUUCAACAAUUUCAAUUAUACAUGCCAUACAAAUUUCAAAUUUUGAUUAAUGAAUAUUUUCAAUUAAAUAAAAAAAAACCAAUAGAUACUCGAACAAUCAAUCAAACAGUCCAAGUUUAAUUACAAUAUGCUAGUUAUCAGAUAUGCACAUCAUUACACUUCAGGGUAUAAUCAAUUCAAAAUCUCCAACUGGAUCAUCAAAUGAACAUUUAUUCCAUGAUUUGAGCUUGAGCUCAUAACAGAAAUACAAAAUGUGUACCUGGAAUCAGAAAUUGACAAGAAAUAUGAGUGAAUCAGCAAGUAAUGGCUGAUUUCCAACAAUCAAACAACAGCAGCAAACAACGGGAAGCAACAGCAAGUUUAGCCCAGAGACGAAUUCAACAGUCGAAGGAUAAGUUGAAAACCAAGCAAACUCCACAGAUCAACCCAAAAUAGCACCAAAUAGUUCACAACAAACUGACUGAAUCCCCAAAAAUUGCUCGAAAUCAAACAGAAACUCCCCUGAACCUUCAAUUACCAGAUUAACCAACAGAUUACCUAACAAAUUCCAUUAACCCAAAUAAUCAAUAAGCUAAAGGCUACUGCCAUAAGGUGAACCAAAAUCAAACCAGCCGAUUAAUUAAUCCCAAAACACCAUUAACUAUUCUAAUCAACAAGGAAAAGAUACGAGCAAAACAAAAACUAAACUUACGAUAAAAUCAACAAAGAACCAAACAGAAAUCAAAAUUAAGAAAUUGAGCCCUAGAAUUCACACAUGCAGAAAAAAUAGAGAAGGAGAAAGAAAAAGAAAAAGAAAAAGAAAAGAAUGCAAACAAGAAACUCACUAAUAACAAAGAACUUCGGCCAGUCAACCAUUUUCUAAUUUGACCAUUUCCGGCGGUCAUUGAAUGCUAAAACUGUUGAAUUCCUCAUCAGGGCACCCCAACGGACAUCUAGUAUCAGUUUGGGACGAAUUAGGACUACUAAGAUUUUGGUCGGAAAACUUGAAAUAGAUAUUCGAGUCGUUCUGGUCAUAUUCGAGCCAAGCGGCUAUGGGGGUUGGGUAGAGGAGGUCAAGGCGAUCCCAUGGUGUUAAUUUGGGACCAAUGGCGUAACCGGAGACUUGGCAGGAAAAUCUUCUGAUGAAGAUUCGAAAAGAUAUGGGAGCAUUCGAGGGAAACCGAUUUGGUAUUUGGAAUGAGGAAGCGAAAGAUAUUCUGGGUUGUGAUUUUGGGAUGGAUUGGUCAUGGCGGCGUUCCCCUCCAGCGGUGGUUCCGGUGAUGUCACACGUUGAGAAUCUGUAAGAGGAAGAAUGGAACAGU